rnacentral:rRNA from 1 species
AGUGAACGCUGGCGGUAGGCCUAACACAUGCAAGUCGAACGGCAGCACAGUAAGAGCUUGCUCUUACGGGUGGCGAGUGGCGGACGGGUGAGGAAUACAUCGGAAUCUACUUUUUCGUGGGGGAUAACGUAGGGAAACUUACGCUAAUACCGCAUACGACCUACGGGUGAAAGCAGGGGAUCUUCGGACCUUGCGCGAUUGAAUGAGCCGAUGUCGGAUUAGCUAGUUGGCGGGGUAAAGGCCCACCAAGGCGACGAUCCGUAGCUGGUCUGAGAGGAUGAUCAGCCACACUGGAACUGAGACACGGUCCAGACUCCUACGGGAGGCGGCAGUGGGGAAUAUUGGACAAUGGUCGCAAGCCUGAUCCAGCCAUACCGCGUGGGUGAAGAAGGCCUUCGGGUUGUAAAGCCCUUUUGUUGGGAAAGAAAAGCAGCAGGUUAAUACCCCGCUGUUCUGACGGUACCCAAAGAAUAAGCACCGGCUAACUUCGUG